UCUUCCUCCCACUCCUCCUCCUCCCGCCCAGACCCGCUUAUAAGACGACAAGCUUUGCUGCCGCGGCUCCCUCUUCCCAGCUUUCAUCACUUCCGUGCAAAGGCCAACCUGCCUUGCUCCUCUUAUUCCAGCUACCUGCUGGCUGCGAGAGCGUCUGACCUGCUCCCUCCUCCUGCCCUUUCCGACAGCUCCUGCUGGAAAGAUGGGAAUGAUUUUUCCUCUCUGUCUGAGGCUUCCUUCUCCAGCCUAUUGUUUCAGACAACAGAUAUAAGUUGCGAUGGGAGAGGAACGUCGGAUUUGGUGUCUGUCCCCCAUUUCCAAUUAUAGAUGGAUCAUUACAGACAGAGAAGUCCUGAGAAUCCAGACAUCUGCUCUUCACAUGAAUGCACUCACCUCCUAGAGGACAGCCCGCCAUCAUGCUCUGGAAACUGGUGGAAAAUGUGAAAUACGAAGACAUCUACGAGGACCGGCACGAUGGCGUCCCCAGCCACAGUUCCCGGCUGUCCCAGCUGGGCUCGGUCUCGCAAGGCCCUUACUCCAGCGCCCCUCCGCUCUCUCACACCCCUUCCUCGGACUUUCAGCCGCCCUACUUCCCGCCGCCCUACCAGCCUCUUCCUUACCACCAGAGCCAGGACCCUUACUCCCACGUCAAUGACCCCUACGCCCUGAACCCGCUGCACCAGCCCCAGCAGCAUCCCUGGGGGCAGCGACAGCGGCAAGAAGUGGGCUCAGAGGCCGGCUCGCUGCUGCCCCAGCCACGGGCUUCUUUGCCGCAGCUCUCGGGCCUCGACCCGCGACGGGACUACCACUCCGUCCGGCGGCCAGACGUCCUUCUCCAUUCGGCUCACCAUGGCCUGGACUCCGGCAUGGGCGACGCGCUUUCCCUCCACGGCAUCGGGCAUCCCGGCAUGGAGGAUGUGCAGGCAGUAGAAGAUGCUAAUAACAGCGGCAUGAACUUGCUGGACCAGUCGGUCAUCAAAAAAGUUCCAGUUCCUCCAAAAUCUGUUACUUCUCUGAUGAUGAACAAAGAUGGCUUCCUUGGUGGUGUGUCUGUAAACACAGGUGAAGUGUUUUGUUCGGUACCUGGGAGGCUCUCCUUGCUCAGUUCGACGUCCAAGUACAAAGUCACUGUUGGAGAAGUUCAACGGCGCCUUUCACCUCCUGAGUGCUUAAACGCUUCCCUCCUUGGAGGAGUCCUUAGAAGAGCCAAAUCGAAAAACGGGGGGCGAUCGUUGCGAGAGCGGCUAGAAAAAAUCGGUUUGAAUUUACCAGCCGGCAGGCGCAAAGCGGCAAAUGUCACUUUACUCACCUCCCUGGUGGAAGGAGAAGCUGUACAUUUAGCUCGGGAUUUUGGAUACAUCUGUGAAACUGAAUUCCCAGCCAAAGCAGUUUCUGAAUACCUGAACAGACAGCACACAGACCCUACUGAUCUCCACUCCCGAAAGAAUAUGCUGCUUGCCACUAAGCAAAUGUGUAAAGAAUUUACUGAUCUUUUGGCCCAAGACCGGACACCCAUUGGCAAUAGCCGACCAACCCCCAUCUUGGAGCCAGGGAUCCAGAGUUGCUUGACUCACUUCAGUCUCAUCACUCAUGGCUUUGGCUCCCCAGCCAUCUGUGCUGCCCUGACUGCUCUCCAGAAUUACCUGACGGAAGCUCUCAAAGGCAUGGACAAGAUGUUCUUGAACAACAACUCUGCUAACAGGCACACUUCUGGGGAAGGACCAGCUUUGCCCGCUUGGCUUAUGAGCUUCUUCAAAGAGGACUAGAGCUCCGUACACAUUUCAUCAGCUUGUGUCUAUGCUUCAUUUUGGCCUCACAUACUGAAUUCAUUCUAGAAGAUGAGAAUAGGAUAAAGAUGUAUUAUGCCUGCCACCCUGAUCCUAAACACAUUAUAUGGCUAUUCUGUGACCCUGCAGCAGAAUGCACAAAUGGAUUGAGCAGUAUUGUCUACACACUGAUUGGCAUCUUCAUAUUUUCAGAGAUACAUUUUGUGCAAUCCAUCCUUUGCUAUGCCAAGCCCUACUCUUCCCCCAUCUCUUAUUUUUGGUAAUUUUAUUCCUCAUCCCAUCAGUGUUUCUAGAAGCCAAUAAUCUACUUUUAAGGUUUUUUUUUCUUAAAGAGCUUUGUAAAUUACUCAAGUAUAUAAAAAAUUGGCUGCCCAUUCUACUGUUACAUCACAGAUGCAGGACCCAACUUUUUCUUGAAGUAAUGUAUUAAAAUAUUAGUCAUCAAUACAGUCUUAAAAGUAAUUGAUGCCAUUUAAAUCUCAUGAAUAAGAUUAAUUUAUGAGUGAGAUAAAUUUAUGAAUCAAUGAUACCUUGGUCAAAUAAAAAUAAAACAGCAUUUCUCACUUUUCUAAACCCUGUAAAACCAUAUAACAUUUAAGCACUACCUAUACAGUUUCACUACUGAUCUUUAGAAUUACAUCAUAAAGUCAAUGCACAAAAUUUUGUCUUACAUAGUACUUUUGUACUGCGUCCCCUGCUUAAAGGGCAGUAUUGUAUUACUGGAUGAAACAGUUUGGUAUCCCCGUGGACUGCAGUUGUAGAAAAAGCAUCUUUGAUCAAAACUCUUUAAAAUGUCUGAGGAAAACUGAAUGUUUUGUUUACAUGGGGAAAAGCAUAGCAUUGUCAUUUUAAUUCAUUUAAUUUCCCCACUAUUAUUGCAGGAUUGGAGGUGAAGGAAUGAAGUUCUUGUUGCAGCUAUUACCUAAAUAGGAAGAAACAAAUUUGCAGUAUCAUUAAAAGUAGCCCAUAAUAUAAUCCUUAGCAGAAGAAGCUAUUUGAAAAUUCCUGUGUAUCAAACUGCUAUAAAAGAGUCUAGUAGGAGAAAAUUAGCAAUUCUAAAUUCAGAGAAAAUUCUGUUGAAAAAUAAUAUAGUUAUUGAGAUUAUAUACAUUUGUGGCAGUCAAAAGCAGGUUUCUACUACUGUUGGUUCUCUUGCCAUUCAUUUCUGUUCUUCGAUGAGAAUGUGAAUUUUUCCCAUUCUCUGCAUUGUGAUGCUUCAUCUACUGCACUUACUGGAAUUCUUGUAAGCAGCCAUUAAAGGCACAAGAUUUUUGACAGACAAGAAGAUACAAACUGAAUAAGAAACCAGUGUUCAGACUUUUCCAUUUUAGGCUCUUUUGCUCAGUCAGUGGAGAAGGGUAAAUUAAACUGUAUUUUAAAGGGUAAAAAACAGCAUUCCACCAAAGACUGUGACCUGCAAUAGAUCACAGUCUUUGGUGGAACAGAUCCUCCCAGGCAUAGAAAUGAUGUGAGGCUUUACCAAGGGCUCCGCCAAAGUCACUUGAAAUAAAGUAAUUACUUCCCUCUGUAACAAUCCAAUUGUUAAAUCAACCUUAUUCUCCAUUAUUAUAGAAUUAAGAUUGGCUGCUACUUUGUUGUAUCACUUAAAAGCUAAAUUUGGAACACACUGACACAUACUUUGCCCAACACUGUACCCAGGCUUUUGUGCUUCCUGCACAUCUUGUUCUAUGCUUGGAAAUUGUUCUCCUUUGUUUAAAUAUUCUAUUGUAUAUGAAUAAAUACACAUAUGGCUGCAGUAGCUUUGUUAUAACACACAUACACACCCAAAUUUAAAAGAGAGACUACUGGUAGUUGUUCUAAAGCCAAACAGGUGUGCUAUUGUCGGGUAAUUUGAAAUGUCCCUUUACAUAGCUCUCCAAUUCUGACAAGUACAAUUAGUACAGUUACAGUACAGUCAAUGGCACUGCUGGCAAGAGCUGAUAGAGUGGUCAAUACUAUCUGCAAAGCUACAAGGUAUUAUUACUCAGGAAUCUUAUUUCUGAUAGUUACCACUCUGGUUCUCAGCUACAUGAAGUAAGAAUUGAUGCUAUGAAUAGCAGAGGUUCUUGGCACCUGUUGUUUCUUCUGGCUGUCAGUAGCUUCACAUUCAACAGGUGCAACUUUUCCUAUUACUGUCUUCUGGCCAGUUUUGCAGUAGAUGAAGUCUCUGAGCCACAUAGUAAUAGAAUCGCCUUACUGGAAACAUUGUUUGAUUUCUGGAGUAAUUUAGAGAGGAAGGUUGCAUUAGUCAUGAGUAUUUAAGACCUGCAUCUUAAGGAAAAUGGUUUGAGAGGGAAUUUCUGAAAUGUGUUUUAAAUGAAACUUUCUUUCACUUUAGGUUUAGUAUAUUGGUGGACAAGUAUGUGAUAAUUUCUCACAUCAGGCUUCCUUUAAAUGAAACCAGCAAUCGUGAAAGAAAGGACUCUUUGACUCUUUCCCUUGGGGUGGUUUCUCUUUGAAAUGGCCUCCUUUUGCUUUCUGUCCAAGCUCUCUAUUGCAACCACUUUGGUACACCUGGGGAAAAAACUACAUGUUAUUGUAAGGUAUAUCCCAUAGACACGGAAGGAAAAUGGGAAAGUACAACUUCCCUAUGGCCAGGCUGGCAAUCAGUCUUAGUGAAGGAAAGAUCUGAAUUCAUAGCUUUCUCUUUUCACCUUUGGCUCAAUCAAUUCAUCCAGUUAGCUGGCUGAGUUCUCAGCAGUUUUCCAGUGGCAGGGGGCAAUACAUCACCCUUGAGAUAGUAAUGGAACGACAAUGGCAGCAUUACUGGUAGGGAAGGACAAUGGAACUGUAGCAAUUCAAGACAUUUCAAAGGGAAUGUGUGUGUGGGGCCAGAGGAAUGAAUCAUCACCCAACCCUAAAUCCCUCCCCCAAAACCCUGAAUGAUCACUGGUGAUCUAAAGAAUACUUUGGGAAAACAGUGUCUUCUGUUGACAAUUUAAAGGCAUCCUCCCAUUCCAUCCUAGCCCCCUCUUUUCUGCCCGAUUAUCUACUUAAAUUUUCAGUAAAAGAAGAGCUGCCAAAGUGGUAGGGAUAACUAUCCACUGUGGAACAAACUAGCUGCUAAAUCAAUUACAAGCAUCUUGCUCUAGAGUUGCUUAUUAGACCAAGGUGUGAUCCCUGCUCUUCCACUGGAUUUACCUUAGAGGCAUUUCCAUGUAUUAUUAAAACCUUUGUCUUUCUUUUGCUGAGUGGUAAUAGAAGUAAUGGAGUGGGGGAUUCUUACAAACAUAUUGUUAAAUCAAAUAUAUAGCUGGUUGAAAAAAAUCUGGACAAUGCCUAGAUGGCAGCAGAGUUACAAUAGAGAUUUCUUAGCUAUUUCUUCCAUGUAGUGGAUUUUUGUUACCCAGAGUGUCUCUAAGGGAGUCUCCUCCUUUUUCCAAUGAUGAUGAUAUGUCUUCAGCACUGAAUGCCUCCCCUUUUUUUGUGGGACAGCUCUGACUAAAAUUUUCCACCCUUCUUAAAAGCAACUUAUCUGCAAUUAACAACUUAAUGCUUUAAUUGCACUGAUGUAUGUUCUCGGCCAUAUGUUUAUUAAAAUAUAAGUGUGAGUGUAUGUUUUCCAAUACUGGUAUUUGUUUUCUCCAAUUUUCUAUCUUAUGUUUUUUUAAAGAACAUUUAAAAUGAACAAUGAUGUGUGCUGAGAAAGAAAACAUGGGUGACUAAAAGCCUGGGCCGUGUAACCCCUUGCCACCCACCCGUUCUAUGAAACCCAUUCUAGGAAAGUUAAACCCUUGUGAGUGUAGAAGGGAAUCUGUGCUCCCACCGUGAAUUUUUAAGAACUGAGGACUCAAAGAGUAAAGCUAAAAUUAGGCAAAUUCUUAAACAAAAAAUAAGACUGGGAAAUCAAUUACAUUCUCUUUUUAUGUUAUCACAAAACAUUUAAAACAGUAAAACUGACUCCUAUUCUUGAAUAGUCUUUUCAUUAACAGUGGGAAAAAAAAUAUAUCAAUUGUUUUAGGGGUCUCUUCCAGAAAAGUAAUGGGGUGGGUUAAAAAAAUGGGAAAGGUAUUCAAUGAUGAGUUUGUAUAUAUUUAUUUAUGCUUAAUUUAAUGGGAUUGUGUAAAUACAGCAAGCAAGUAGUUUGGGGAUUAUUUAUCUGUGACUAUACCUCUGUGAAUGGGUGGGGAAUUUAAAUCUUGGGAGGGUUGAGAUCAAAUAGAGAAAAAGACAAAAAAAAAAUUACAAGCGCUUGAUACUAGAUAGUACCCAAUCUGAUUUUUUUUUUCAUUCUUUAUCGACAAACUGUUAUGGUAAUGGGUAGAACUUGGUUUCUUGUCCAGUGAUGACCUGAUUUACAUAAAUAAGAAGAAUAAAAA